rnacentral:rRNA from 1 species
GGCUUCGGCUANNANUUUUGGAUGGUCCCGCGGCGUAUUAGCUAGAUGGUGGGGUAACGGCUCACCAUGGCAAUGAUACGUAGCNNNNNNGAGAGGGUAAUCGGCCACAUUGGGACUGAGACACGGCCCAAACUCCUACGGGAGGCAGCAGUAGGGAAUCUUCCACAAUGGACGAAAGUCUGAUGGAGCAACGCCGCGUGAGUGAAGAAGGGUUUCGGCUCGUAAAACUCUGUUGUUAAAGAAGAACAUAUCUGAGAGUAACUGUUCAGGUAUUGACGGUAUUUAACCAGAAAGCCACGGCUAACUACGUGCCAGCAGCCGCGGUAAUACGUAGGUGGCAAGCGUUGUCCGGAUUUAUUGGGCGUAAAGCGAGCGCAGGCGGUUUUUUAAGUCUGAUGUGAAAGCCUUCGGCUCAACCGAAGAAGUGCAUCGGAAACUGGGAAACUUGAGUGCAGAAGAGGACAGUGGAACUCCAUGUGUAGCGGUGAAAUGCGUAGAUAUAUGGAAGAACACCAGUGGCGAAGGCGGCUGUCUGGUCUGUAACUGACGCUGAGGCUCGAAAGUAUGGGUAGCAAACAGGAUUAGAUACCCUGGUAGUCCAUACCGUAAACGAUGAAUGCUAAGUGUUGGAGGGUUUCCGCCCUUCAGUGCUGCAGCUAACGCAUUAAGCAUUCCGCCUGGGGAGUACGGCCGCAAGGCUGAAACUCAAAGGAAUUGACGGGGGCCCGCACAAGCGGUGGAGCAUGUGGUUUAAUUCGAAGCUACGCGAAGAACCUUACCAGGUCUUGACAUACUAUGCAAAUCUAAGAGAUUAGACGUUCCCUUCGGGGACAUGGAUACAGGUGGUGCAUGGUUGUCGUCAGCUCGUGUCGUGAGAUGUUGGGUUAAGUCCCGCAACGAGCGCAACCCUUAUUAUCAGUUGCCAGCAUUAAGUUGGGCACUCUGGUGAGACUGCCGGUGACAAACCGGAGGAAGGUGGGGAUGACGUCAAAUCAUCAUGCCCCUUAUGACCUGGGCUACACACGUGCUACAAUGGAUGGUACAACGAGUUGCGAACUCGCGAGAGUAAGCUAAUCUCUUAAAGCCAUUCUCAGUUCGGAUUGUAGGCUGCAACUCGCCUACAUGAAGUCGGAAUCGCUAGUAAUCGCGGAUCAGCAUGCCGCGGUGAAUACGUUCCCGGGCCUUGUACACACCGCCC